GAGAAAGGCAAGAGAUGCCGGGGACCCAGCCUGCUUUCUGCGGAUGCUGCUCCAUCCCUUCAGCACUGCGGUGUGAUCUGUGAUCGUGUGAUCGCUGCCUUGGAGGUCAACAGUUACACACUCUCUCUGACGUGAGCGACACAGUAAACCUCUCAGUUUCUUUCCCUCCCAACCCGCCUUCAGCGUAAUCAGGCAGCAAGUCACUAAUCUCAUGGCUGCAGCCCGCUCCCCCUACUGCAGCUAAUUCCACUUUCUGACUUAAUCAUCAUCCUUAGGCUUUCAAUACAGGGCUUUGCAUCUUCAGAGCCGCUCAGGCAUUAGCUGAUUCCUGUAAUCUGUCCGACUCCCAUGGCGUCAGCCAGCACAGGGCUUCUGUUACCCUCCUGGAUCCUCAGUUUCCUCAUCUGUAAAACAGGAUGAGUGGGCCUAACUGGCAUUAUUGGUUGGAGAUUAAGUAAAAUGAAGUACAUCAAGUGCCUGUCCCCUGACACAUCAAAAGCCCUCAGGAAUGGUGAUUGUUUUCCAUUUCAAUUUCAGGGGAUAACUCUCACUGAAGAGCCAAACAGGUCUGGAUUUCAAUCUGGCUUUUUCUGCUUAAAGGAAACAUUUUCUGAGCCUCAGUUUUCUCAUCCUUAAAAUGGGGUGAGCGGUGCCACCCUUUCAAAGUCUGCUAAAUGGAAUAAAAGCUGUGAUAUGUCAAUGAGGCACUGAGCAGAGUGCUGGGCACCUAGUGUGUAGUCAGAGGAGGAUGCCUAUUGCACUCACCAUCAUAUCCCCAGCCCUUUACCUUGCUGAGUUCUCAGUCAUGAAUAAGUGAAUGAAUUUGCUGAGGUGCAGAUGAGAUUAAUACAUCUGAACAGGACUGGAUAGUUUAUAGAAGACUCAAGAUCUGUAUCGCACAACCAGAGAAGGUAAGCAGGCCAAGGGUUAGACCCACAUGUUACAGCUGAAGAAACUGAUGCUUAGGGAGAUCAACACUGGUCUGUAAGUGUUAACAGCUGUAGCUAAUCUCAUGCCAAUUCGGCUCUGCCAGUAAGAGUGAGUGGAGCACUGGGCUCGUGAAGAAUCCGGCCUGUGUCAUGGGUGGAGUUACAAGUCUUUCUGAGAUUCUCCAAAGCUGCAGAGACUCUGCCCGCUCUGUUCCUGCUGUGCCUGGUAUGGGGCUGUAUCCCAGUGCAUUUGUUUUUUUAGAUGAGUUUUUCCUCUCUUUUUUUUUUUCUUUUAAUUGAGCUGUAAUUGACAUCCAAGUGCACUUGUUUUUUAUUACUGACAGUUUCAACUUCAGGGCUGCCAUGAACAGCCACAAAGGUUAUACAUUGUGCAACUCCAGGGGACAGAGGCCAUUCACCAGGACAGCAGUGAAGAGGUAAGUUUCACUCUGAAGCUGGAGGUGACUCACGGAGGAGACGGGAAGCCUCCUCAUGCACUGGCUGGAGUAAAGAACUCUGCAGGAACCAAGGCUCCUGGACAGUCUCUGGUCUCCCUGGCAGGGUCCACGUUUGGAGUGUGGACAUCCAGGGGCUGAUCUUCACCCUUCUUAGGGGUAAAGGUAGGAAAGUCCUGGACAUUUAACCUCAGCUUUGAAACUUGAGGUAGUUAAGGAAAGGGAGCAAGACUCGAAACCCAGUAUAUUGUAGACUUUAUUACAUAUAUAAGUAAUCAUUUAACCUUGAUAAUAAAGCUCUUUGAAUAAGCAUCAUCCACCCAUUUUACAGAUGACUUAACUGGACACAUGGAAGUUAAUUAACUUGCCCAAAGGGCCAUACAGCAAGGAAGUGGCAGAGCUGGAAUUCAAACUCUAGGCCCCCUAGGUUACCUCUGGAUGUAACCUGCAUUUUACAAGGAAAGUAGCUGAGGCCCAGAGAGGGGCAGUGACUUACCCAGAGUCACACAGCCAGCUAGUCACUGAGUAAAUACUGAACCCUAGAAUCUAGACCGUCAGUCCCAGAGUGAGCCUGUAAGAGUGCCUGGCCCAUCAAUUCGUAUUUUUAAUAAAAUAAGUCUAGAGAGAGACCCAGGAUGGCUGGGACAGGAGAGCUGGGGAUGGGGCAUGUGUGGAGCAGAUGGUGAAGGGCAGACACCAAGCUUCCGCUUUUUUGGCUCCUGUCUCUCUAAAAGGAAAGCCCCUGUUCCCUCCAUUUCCGGAUGGCGGGUGGGAUCCCAUAGGGUGAGAGGGGCUGCUCCGCGCUUGGCCUCUAGGUGGCGCCCGUACUGCAGAUCUGGACUCCCUUGGGCAGCCCGGGUCUCGGGAAUUGGUCUGUACCCUGGGGCCUGCUCAGUCCCCAGAGUUUUCAGUACACCCUGGAUAACAGCUCCCCUUUCCCUCCUCCAGGCUUCUUCUGCCCUGGCUUUGGCUGCGAAGGGUUGUCAGGGCCCACACUGGGAGCUCAUGCCUCAACUUGGUCCUCCCUUAGAAGACCUCUGCAGCUCCAUGGCCUCUUACCCAGCUUUUGUGGACCUAGUACCUCUUUGGAGGUGAUGCAGAACAGUGAUUAAGCAGAAAGCUCUGGAGUCUUGCUGUCUAGGUUCAAAUGCUUCACUUUAGGACUCCCUGAGUGGCCUUGGGCAAGUUCCUUCGCGUCACUGCUGCAGAUUCUUGGUGCGUACCCACUACACAUCCCAGUCUCCUGGCAGUUAGGUUGGAACCAUGUGACUGACUAGUUUUGGCCAGAGAGAUGGGAGCAGGAGCGAUGUGUGUGCUGCUCUAGGAAAAGUGGUUGAGAGCCUAUGUGGACAUCUUCUAUCCCUGUCUUGCCCUGUCACUGUGGCCUGUGUGGGACCACAGGGUUAUGGGUUUGUGUUGCAAUACACCACAGGGUUAUCAUGUAAGAGUAUAGCUCUGAGAUGGAAGUGCUCUGAGUCCCCUAAUCACCCUCAGAGGAGAGCCACACCCCCAGCCUUGCACUGUGUUUGAGCGAGAAGUAAACUUUUAUUGCCCCAGAGACUUCAGAGUUUGUUUGUACUGACCAUAAUCCAGUUUAACUUCACUGAUACAGCCUUCCUGUGCC
ensembl:lncRNA